rnacentral:rRNA from 1 species
UAGGGCUACACACGUGCUACAAUGGCGCAUACAGAGGGCAGCCAACUUGCGAAAGUGAGCGAAUCCCAAAAAGUGCGUCGUAGUCCGGAUUGGAGUCUGCAACUCGACUCCAUGAAGUCGGAAUCGCUAGUAAUCGUGGAUCAGAAUGCCACGGUGAAUACGUUCCCGGGCCUUGUACACACCGCCCGUCACACCAUGGGAGUGGGCUGCAAAAGAAGUAGGUAGUUUAACCUUCGGGGGGACGCUUACCACUUUGUGGUUCAUGACUGGGGUGAAGUCGUAACAAGGUAGCGCUAGGGGAACCUGGCGCUGGAUCACCUCCUUA